rnacentral:rRNA from 1 species
GACAGAGGGUGCAAACGUUGUUCGGAAUCACUGGGCGUAAAGCGCAUGUAGGCGGCAGAGUGUGUCCUGUGUGAAAUCCCUCGGCUUAACCGGGGAGUGGCAUGGGAAACUGCUUUGCUUGAGUGUGAUAGAGGAUGGCAGAAUUUCUGGUGUAGAGGUGAAAUUCGUAGAUACCAGAAGGAAUACCGGUGGCGAAGGCGACCAUCUGGAUCAUAACUGACGUUGAGAUGCGACAGCGUGGGGAGCUAACAGG